AAGUGGAGCAAUCCAUGAGUAAAGCGGCGCACGGGUGAGUAACACGUGACUAACCUACCUUCGAGUGUGGAAUAACCUGGGGAAACUCGGGCUAAUACCGCAUAACACCUACGGGUCAAAGGAGCAAUCCGCUUGAAGAGGGGGUCGCGGCAGAUUAGUUAGUUGGCGGGGUAAUGGCCCACCAAGACGAUGAUCUGUAUCCGGCCUGAGAGGGCGCACGGACACACUGGAACUGAAACACGGUCCAGACUCCUACGGGAGGCAGCAGUGGGGAAUUUUGCGCAAUGGGGGAAACCCUGACGCAGCAACGCCGCGUGGAGGAUGAAGUCCCUUGGG
rnacentral:rRNA from 1 species